GUGUCAGCCGCCGCGGUAAUACAGAGACUGCAAGCGUUAUUCGGAUUCACUGGGCGUAAAGGGUGCGCAGGCGGCCAAGUGUGUCAGGUGUGAAAUCCCGGGGCUUAACUCCGGAACUGCGCCUGAAACUACUUGGCUAGAGCAUUGGAGAGGGAAGUGGAAUUCACGGUGUAGCAGUGAAAUGCGUAGAUAUCGUGAGGAACACCAGAGGCGAAGGCGACUUCCUGGACAAUUGCUGACGCUCAGGCACGAAAGCGUGGGGAGCCAAAGGGAUUAGAUACCCCGGUAGUCC
rnacentral:rRNA from 1 species